rnacentral:lncRNA from 1 species
GUGUGCAAGCAGAAGUAAAAAUAGUCACCAACGUGUUGCACGUUCACUCGUUGAAGCUGGACGGCUGCCCCGUGGGUGUCUAGAUUCGUUGUAGGUUGAGGGUACACCAGGAUCAACAUGCACUUGCGUGCACAUGAUUAUACAUUGGGACAAGGGAGUUGAUACACUACAGGCACGUCUACAUGAAGGACGUGCACCUGGUGAAUUGUUGUGGCAUGAUUGGGUCUAAAAGGGGGUGCAUAACGUCCGGUCUGUACAUGGUUUCACUGGAACACACGUUGUGGAUGUGGUGCCCAGAUCCGAUGUGACGUGUCUAUGACGAAGGUGUUACGCUCGCCUAUAUGUCUUCGUCACGUUCAUCCUUACGCUAGUUAAUGCCUUAGUUAGCGAAUCCAACGGUGGAAAGGACGGGAGCAUACUGCCUCCAGGGAGCUCACCUGCAUUAGAUCGUACCAUCACCCACCACUCAUUCCUCACGGCACAAACUUUGAGGCAAUUCUCUUUCUCUUUCUUCCUACUUUUUUCUUGCUUC